AAAUGGACCAAAUGCAUUCGUAAAAUUGAGCGACAACGAUUGUUGGAAUGGUCAAAAAUAGCCACAUGAUAUGGUCAAGAUUUGUUUCGAUGUUAACUUAAAUAUGGAGACAAUGAGCUACACGGCUCAAAUUUAAUUAAACGUAAUGACAAAAGAUUCUAGCAGUUGUUUGGUUAGUAAGUCAACAAAUGUGGAGACAGAUAGCUAUAUGGCCAAAAUAAAAUUAGACGCAGUCAAAAAACUAGAUUAUGGCGAUUUUUUUGAUGCUAGGUCAGAUGUGGAGCUAUAUGACUCAAACAGGAGCGUAUUCAUUGAUAGUAUCAGACAGCAGCAUUAUUUGGAUACUAUUUCAGCUGUGAAAACAUACAGUUAAACGACUCAAAUGGAAUUGGACGACAUGAAUAAACCAGAUUAUAACGAUUGUUUGGAUAAUACGUCAGAUGCGGACACAAGCAGCUAUGUGGUAAAAACAGAAUUAGAUGCAUCGCCAGAACCAGAUUAUAACGAUUGUUUAGAUGCUAAUUUAGAUGUGGAGAUACGAAACUCCAGUGUUCAAAUGACACUAGACGCUAUGUCAAAACCAGAUUGCAGUGAUUGUUUGGAUGCUAAAUUAGAUUUAGAUGCAAGCAGCUACAUGGUUACGGAAUGACAAGCAUUUACAAAACUAAAUCAUGGCGAAUAAUUAGACGAAAUCAAACGAGUCAAAAGUAAAUCUCAAAAAAGUCACAAACCUCAAAUCGAGCCCAACGAUUUCCCUUCGUGUAAUUUAUUUAAUUUUGUCACGGUUUGUCAUUUGCAGACAAAUAUAAAAGAGCCAAAAGUAUAGAUCAAUGUACGAGAAACAGCCACCAGACCAUGGCGAGGUUUGGGCUGUUAGUUCAACAACAGAAACAGUGUGAUAACCUUUGAAUUGGUGACUACUUCUAGCCGCAUCUUACGACCAGUUUGGUGUAACAUCACACUGUAGUACCAACACAACUUCAAUAGCUGACUGGGAUAAAUACAUGUUUAAUCACAGUUAAUAAUUAACUUUAUACCAU